AACGAACGCUGGCGGCAUGCCUAACACAUGCAAGUCGAACGAGACCUUCGGGUCUAGUGGCGCACGGGUGCGUAACGCGUGGGAAUCUGCCCUUGGGUUCGGAAUAACAGUUGGAAACGACUGCUAAUACCGGAUGAUGACGUAAGUCCAAAGAUUUAUCGCCCAAGGAUGAGCCCGCGUAGGAUUAGCUAGUUGGUGAGGUAAAGGCUCACCAAGGCGACGAUCCUUAGCUGGUCUGAGAGGAUGAUCAGCCACACUGGGACUGAGACACGGCCCAGACUCCUACGGGAGGCAGCAGUGGGGAAUAUUGGACAAUGGGGGAAAGCCUGAUCCAGCCAUGCCGCGUGAGUGAUGAAGGCCUUAGGGUUGUAAAGCUCUUUUACCCGGGAUGAUAAUGACGGUACCGGGAGAAUAAGCUCCGGCUAACUCCGUG
rnacentral:rRNA from 1 species